AUGGGAUUCUAUAGUCUUCAUGAAUCCCUUCAUCAGAAGGUCACCAAACUUCUCUCCAGAUUCUUCUGGGCUGGAGAGAACAAUAAACAGAAAUAUCACAUGGUAAAGUGGUCUGAGAUCUGUAAGCCUAAAGACCAAGGAGGCCUUGGGGUUAUUUCUUCCAAGCGGAUGAAUAUUGCCCUCCUCUCCAAGUGGCUUUGGCGCAUUCAGACUGAUGAGGGCGGCAUGUGGCUUGAGGUUAUC
rnacentral:rRNA from 1 species